rnacentral:rRNA from 1 species
GUUCGAUCCUGGCUCAGAUUGAACGCUGGCGGCAUGCCUUACACAUGCAAGUCGAACGGCAGCACGGGAGCAAUCCUGGUGGCGAGUGGCGAACGGGCGAGUAAUGUAUCGGAACGUACCUUUCAGUGGGGGAUAACGUAGCGAAAGUUACGCUAAUACCGCAUAUUCUGUGAGCAGGAAAGCAGGGGAUUGUAAGACCUUGCGCUGAUUGAGCGGCCGAUAUCAGAUUAGCUAGUUGGUGAGGUAAAGGCUCACCAAGGCGACGAUCUGUAGCGGGUCUGAGAGGAUGAUCCGCCACACUGGAACUGAGACACGGUCCAGACUCCUACGGGAGGCAGCAGUGGGGAAUUUUGGACAAUGGGCGCAAGCCUGAUCCAGCCAUGCCGCGUGAGUGAAGAAGGCCUUCGGGUUGUAAAGCUCUUUCAGCCGGGAAGAAAACGCAUGGGUUAAUACCCUGUGUGGAUGACGGUACCGGAAUAAGAAGCACCGGUUAACUACGUGUCAGCAGUCGCGGUAAUACGUAGGGUGCGAGCGUUAAUCGGAAUUACUGGGCGUAAAGCGUGCGCAGGCGGUUUGUUAAGAUAGGCGUGAAAUUCCCGGGCUCAACCUGGGAACUGCGUUUAUGACUGGCAAGCUAGAGUAUGGCAGAGGGGGGUGGAAUUCCACGUGUAGCAGUGAAAUGCGUAGAGAUGUGGAGGAACACUGAUGGCGAAGGCAGCCCCCUGGGCCAAUACUGACGCUCAUGCACGAAAGCGUGGGUAGCAAACAGGAUUAGAUACCCUGGUAGUCCACGCCCUAAACGAUGUCAACUAGGUGUUGGGAGGGUAAAACCUUUUAGUACCGGAGCUAACGCGUGAAGUUGACCGCCUGGGGAGUACGGCCGCAAGGUUAAAACUCAAAGGAAUUGACGGGGACCCGCACAAGCGGUGGAUGAUGUGGAUUAAUUCGAUGCAACGCGAAAAACCUUACCUACCCUUGACAUGCCCGGAAGCCCUUAGAGAUUUGGGUGUGCUCGAAAGAGAGCCGGAACACAGGUGCUGCAUGGCUGUCGUCAGCUCGUGUCGUGAGAUGUUGGGUUAAGUCCCGCAACGAGCGCAACCCUUGUCGUUAAUUGCCAUCAUUUAGUUGGGCACUUUAACGAGACUGCCGGUGACAAACCGGAGGAAGGUGGGGAUGACGUCAAGUCCUCAUGGCCCUUAUGGGUAGGGCUUCACACGUCAUACAAUGGUCGGUACAAAGGGUCGCCAACCCGCGAGGGGGAGCCAAUCCCAGAAAGCCGAUCGUAGUCCGGAUCGUAGGCUGCAACUCGCCUGCGUGAAGUCGGAAUCGCUAGUAAUCGUGGAUCAGCAUGUCACGGUGAAUACGUUCCCGGGUCUUGUACACACCGCCCGUCACACCAUGGGAGCGGGUUCCGCCAGAAGUAGGUAGCCUAACCGCAAGGAGGGCGCUUACCACGGCGGGGUUCGUGACUGGGGUGAAGUCGGAACAAGGUA